rnacentral:rRNA from 1 species
CGAACUAGCAAAAUGGCACCGUAACUUCGGGAGAAGGUGCGCCGGUGAGGGUGAAGCAUUUACUGCGUAAGCCCAUGCCGGUCGAAGAUACCAGGCCGCUGCGACUGUUUAUUAAAAACACAGCACUCUGCAAACACGAAAGUGGACGUAUAGGGUGUGACGCCUCCCCGGUGCCGGAAGGUUAAUUGAUGGGGUUAGCUAACGCGAAGCUCUUGAUCGAAGCCCCGGCAAACGGCGGCCGUAACAAUAACGGUCCUAAGGUAGCGAAAUUCCUUGUCGGGUAAGUUCCGACCUGCACGAAUGGCGUAACGAUGGCGGCGCUGUCUCCACCCGAGACUCAGUGAAAUUGAAAUCGCUGUGAAGAUGCAGUGUAUCCGCGGCUAGACGGAAAGACCCCGUGAACCUUUACUAUAGCUUUGCACUGGACUUUGAAUUUGCUUGUGUAGGAUAGGUGGGAGGCUUUGAAGCGUGGACGCCAGUUCGCGUGGAGCCAACCUUGAAAUACCACCCUGGCAACUUUGAGGUUCUAACUCAGGUCCGUUAUCCGGAUCGAGGACAGUGUAUGGUGGGUAGUUUGACUGGGGCGGUCUCCUCCUAAAGAGUAACGGAGGAGUACGAAGGUGCGCUCAGACCGGUCGGAAAUCGGUCGUAGAGUAUAAAGGCAAAAGCGCGCUUGACUGCGAGACAGACACGUCGAGCAGGUACGAAAGUAGGUCUUAGUGAUCCGGUGGUUCUGUAUGGAAGGGCCAUCGCUCAACGGAUAAAAGGUACUCCGGGGAUAACAGGCUGAUACCGCCCAAGAGUUCAUAUCGACGGCGGUGUUUGGCACCUCGAUGUCGGCUCAUCACAUCCUGGGGCUGAAGCCGGUCCCAAGGGUAUGGCUGUUCGCCAUUUAAAGUGGUACGCGAGCUGGGUUUAGAACGUCGUGGGACAGUUCGGUCCCUAUCUGCCGUGGACGUUUGAGAUUUGAGAGGGGCUGCUCCUAGUACGAGAGGACCGGAGUGGACGAACCUCUGGUGUUCCGGUUGUCACGCCAGUGGCAUUGCCGGGUAGCUAUGUUCGGAAUAGAUAACCGCUGAAAGCAUCUAAGCGGGAAACUAGCCUCAAGAUGAGAUCUCACUGGGACCUUGAGUCCCCUGAAGGGCCGUCGAAGACUACGACGUUGAUAGGUUGGGUGUGUAAGCGCUGUGAGGCGUUGAGCUAACCAAUACUAAUUGCCCGUGGGGCUUGACC